rnacentral:lncRNA from 1 species
AUAGGUGCAUUUUGGUGGAUUUACCAAAACUAUACACAAGCUUUAAGCACAAAGUAGCACAAUCAAUUAGUGAUGAGAUUUUUUUUUUAAUUUGAUCUUAAUGUUUGUAGAUUAUGCCACGGGCAACACGCAUCACAUCGCGUAGUGGACGGCCAAAAACACAAGCAGGUGAGCUGAAUGAGCACCCCAAUCUUCUUGGGUAUCAAACUAGCUGUCAUUUUAGAGUGGACACUACAGGACAUGUUUUAAACAAGAACAUGGGAAUCCUAGACAGAGAAAUCAGGUGGUUUGAAAAUCCAGGAGGUAGUUUACGGUUUCAGCUUUCAAACGUCUGGGGCGGAAUUUUACAAAAAGUUCAGAACCGUUCUAAAACUCCCUCCAAAAGAACCAAGCAAUGCUACAGUUCACUGAUUUUUUGAGCGAAGUCAAUUUUGGUUGGUGGGACACCGAAACCAUAGAGGAUUGUGAGUUUCUAAUGUGUUCUACGUAAUCAUCUCUUUUUUUGGAAAAUCUCACAAUGAGAAAAAAUCUAGGGGUUUUCUCCUAUGUGCGUGUCCUUAAAUGACGUGUAUGACAGCUCUGUUUACAAAAUCCAUUUUCACAGUGAGAGCAACGAUAAGGUUUUUUUCUGCAGCAUGUGUUCUUAUGAGUUGCAAGAUCACUCUUUUUUGCAAUUACCUUUCCACAAUAUGAUCAAAUACGGGGUUAUUCUCCUUUAUAUGUUCUUAUAAUAUGACAGGUUGGAUUGCCCUUUUCAGCAAACCUCUUAUCAGAAUGAGGGCAAAUAUAGGGGUUUUCUCCUGUGUGUGUUCAUAUAUGACAGGUAAGAUCAAUCUUUUUAGCAAAUCCCUUCUCACAAUGAGUUCAAAUAUAGGGUUUUUCUCCCAAAUGUGUUCUUAAAUGAUGGGUAAGAUUGCCCUUUUGAGAAAAUCCUCUUUCACAAAGAGAGCAACGAUAAGGUUUUUCUCCUCUGCGCCAGUAUGUUGUGUUAGUAUAAUAAUGAUGAUUCGAUAUUGUGGUGUGUUGUGGUGGUAUGUAGCUAUUACACCAACGGAGGUCUAACCCCUUUUAUUUAAUAGUGAGCUAGUUACGAAUCAUCAUGAAUUUGUUAUACAGAUUAUAUUGUAAAAGAGGAGAGAAAAGUAAGAGGCAGUCACGCCAGUAUGUUAUAUUAGUAAUAAUGAUGAUUCGAUGUUGCAACCGCUAAGUGUAAGCGCGCCACCUUGUGUUGGUCUCUUGGCCAUGGUCAUAAAAGACAGUCACACGUAACCUCAAAGUUGUCUAGUUUAUUCACUUAAGUCUUACUUUAUUAACCCUUGGUGCUGUGUGUUCUUAUAUGACGAGUAAGAUCGCCCUUUUGAGAAAAUCCUCUUUCACAAUGAGAGCAAAUAUUGAGUUUUGAUCCAGUAUGUGUUCUAAUAUGAAUUGUAUUCUAAUAUGAAUUGUAAGUGUUCUCGUCAGAAAAUCCCUUUUCACAAUGAGAACAAAUAUACGUUUUUCUCUCCUGUAUGUGUCCUAAUAUGAUAUGUAAGACCGACCUUGUUAGAAAAUCUCUUGUCACAAUGAGAGCAACGAUAAGGUUAUUCUCCUGUGUGUGUCCUAUGACAGAAAAGAUGACUCUUUAGAAAAUCUCUUUCACAAUUGUUAUAUAUAAGAAUUGUAGAAGAAUAUUAUGAAAGCAGUUACAUUAAUCUAUUAGUUAUUU